rnacentral:rRNA from 1 species
GAUGAACGCUGGCGGCGUGCCUAAUACAUGCAAGUCGAGCGAACGGACGAGAAGCUUGCUUCUCUGAUGUUAGCGGCGGACGGGUGAGUAACACGUGGAUAACCUACCUAUAAGACUGGGAUAAUUUCGGGAAACCGGAGCUAAUACCGGAUAAUAUUUUGAACCGCAUGGUUCAAAAGUGAAAGACGGUCUUGCUGUCACUUAUAGAUGGAUCCGCGCUGCAUUAGCUAGUUGGUAAGGUAACGGCUUACCAAGGCAACGAUGCAUAGCCGACCUGAGAGGGUGAUCGGCCACACUGGAACUGAGACACGGUCCAGACUCCUACGGGAGGCAGCAGUAGGGAAUCUUCCGAAAUGGGCGAAAGCCUGACGGAGCAACGCCGCGUGAGUGAUGAAGGUCUUCGGAUCGUAAAACUCUGUUAUUAGGGAAGAACAUAUGUGUAAGUAACUGUGCACAUCUUGACGGUACCUAAUCAGAAAGCCACGGCUAACUACGU